rnacentral:rRNA from 1 species
AACGAACGCUGGCGGCGUGCUUAAGACAUGCAAGUCGUACGGAAAGGCUCUCUUCGGAGAGUACUCGAGUGGCGCACGGGUGAGUAACGCGUGGGUAAUCUGCCUUCGGGUUUGGGACAACCCCGGGAAACUGGGGCUAAUACCGGAUAAGACCACGAGUUCUUCGGAGCUCGCGGAAAAAGGUGGCCUCUCGUAGAAGCUACCGCCCGUCGAUGAGCCCGCGUCCCAUUAGCUUGUUGGUGAGGUAACGGCUCACCAAGGCUUCGAUGGGUAGCUGGUCUGAGAGGAUGAUCAGCCACACUGGAACUGAGACACGGCCCAGACUCCUACGGGAGGCAGCAGUCGGGAAUUUUGGGCAAUGGGCGCAAGCCUGACCCAGCAACGCCGCGUGAGGGAUGAAGGCCCUCGGGUCGUAAACCUCUGUCGGGAGGGAAGAACGGUGACGUUUCGAACAGGCUCGUCAUCUGACGGUACCUCCAAAGGAAGCACCGGCUAACUCCGUG